GCCGACAUAGCUCAGCUGGUAGAGCGGCGGUCUUGUAAACCGCAGGUCGGGGGUUCGAAUCCCUCUGUUGGCU
rnacentral:tRNA from 1 species